rnacentral:lncRNA from 1 species
UAUUUAUUUAUUUAUUUUUUUUCUUUUUUUUCUCUUUUUCUUUUUUAAACUCCCCCUCUCCCCUCCUCCUCACUCCUGCCCCCACCCUACAACUUCUUCCCCUCACACCGCCUUUCCCCGGGAAGCCAAGAUGGCCGCCGGUGCCGACGCCCCGGCCAGGCCAGGCCUAGGCCUCGAGCGCUCCCCCUUCCGGCUCCGAGCGGGCGGGGCGAAAGAGCAUGCGCAGUGAGGAGCGCCGCCGGCUGCCGCUCCCAUUCCGAAGGUGCCAGUAUGAAGAUGACUCAACGGAAGUAAGGAUUCCAGGGCAGUGUCAGAUCUGAAAAAGCAAUUCCAGUACCAGUUCCUUGUCUCACAGUGGCUUGGCAACUUCACCUCUCUCAAAGUAGAGAAGAAAAUCAAGUCAAACAGGCCUUCCUGAAACAUGGCGUGAAACACCACAUGUCACCUUUGUUCCUGGAGGAGACACUAAACAAGUACUUGUUGAGGUAAACUAUUACAUAUUCUCCCCAUUUCUCACCUAAGCAGUUGGAAGUUAACUAUCUUCUUGAAGACAUGAAAAG